ensembl:misc_RNA Metazoa_SRP Metazoan signal recognition particle RNA
GCUGGGCAUGGUGGCGCAUGCCUGUAAUCCCAGCUACUCAGGAGGCUGAGACAAGAGAAUCGCUUGAACCCGGGAGGCAGGGGUUGCAGUGAGCCAAGAUCAUGCCACUGCACUCCAGCCUGGGUGACAGAGCGACACUCCGUCUCAA